rnacentral:rRNA from 1 species
ACAAGCGGUGGAGUAUGUGGUUUAUUCGAUGCAACGCGAAAAACCUUACCUGCCCUUGACAUCCUCGGAACUUGUCAGAGAUGACUUGGUGCCUUCGGGAACCGAGAGACAGGUGCUGCAUGGCUGUCGUCAGCUCGUGUCGUGAGAUGUUGGGUUAAGUCCCGUAACGAGCGCAACCCUUGUCCAUAGUUGCCAGCACGUAAAGGUGGGAACUCUAUGGAGACUGCCGGUGACAAACCGGAGGAAGGUGGGGAUGACGUCAAGUCGUCAUGGCCCUUAUGGGCAGGGCUACACACGUACUACAAUGGUCGGUACAAAGGGCUGCCAACCCGCGAGGGGGAGCCAAUCCCAGAAAACCGAUCGUAGUCCGGAUUGGAGUCUGCAACUCGACUCCAUGAAGUCGGAAUCGCUAGUAAUCGUGGAUCAGAAUGUCACGGUGAAUACGUUCCCGGGUCUU